GCCACUGCAGUUGAUGACAACUUUUUUCCCUAUCAGAUCGACCCUGUUGAUCUAACUAAACUAUUCGCCAGUUUUUGUCUGAUGCAUUAGC
ensembl:snoRNA SNORD12 small nucleolar RNA, C/D box 12